GCCGCGGUGGCGGAACUGGAAUACGCGUACGGUUCAGAACCGUAUGUCGAAAGACUUGUGGGUUCAAAUCCCACCCGCGGCA
rnacentral:tRNA from 3 species